rnacentral:rRNA from 1 species
AGUGAACGCUGGCGGUAGGCCUAACACAUGCCAGUCGAACGGCAGCACAGUAAGAGCUUGCUCUUACGGGUGGCGAGUGGCGGACGGGUGAGGAAUACAUCGGAAUCUACUUUUUCGUGGGGGAUAACGUAGGGAAACUUACGCUAAUACCGCAUAUGAUCUACGGGUGAAAGCAGGGGAUCUUCGGACCUUGCGCGAUUGAAUGAGCCGCUGUCGGAUUAGCUAGUUGGCGGGGUAAAGGCCCACCAAGGCGACGAUCCGUAGCUGGUCUGAGAGGAUGAUCGGCCACACUGGAGCUGGGACACGGUCCAGGCUCCUACGGGAGGCAGCAGUGGGGAAUAUUGGACAAUGGGCGCAAGCCUGAUCCAGCCAUACCGCGUGGGUGAAGAAGGCCUUCGGGUUGUAAAGCCCUUUUGUUGGGAAAGAAAAGCAGCAGGUUAAUACCCCGCUGUUCUGACGGUACCCAAAGAAUAAGCACCGGCUAACUUCGUG